GAAAUAUAAUGCAGCCAAGGAUGACUUGCCAACUUCUUUGUAAUUGUUUCCUUUAUUAUUUGUAUGAGGGAUUUGCAUCUGAUGAAGUUGGCAAGGUGUCCUUGGCUAUAUGCUGCUUCCU
rnacentral:pre_miRNA from 1 species